CGUUGGUUUCGUUCAUCAGCCGCAAUCCCAACUCGCUUCUGUUUCCGCUAUCAGCACCCGUUAAUUAAGUUUCCUUCUGAGAUGGUGGACCCUGGUUUUGGUUUCCUUCUUUCCCUCUUUGUUCCCUCCCUGGUUUUGGCCCUGAGGCUCUGCUGUCCCGUCGCCGCAGUCCCAGACGGAUCCAGAGGUGACUCGGUGACGGUCAGGGCUGGCCCAGGGGCUGCGUGCAUCCUGGGGAUGGAUUACCUCGGGAGGGUGGAAGGUGAGACGGGCCCCAUAAGUGAAAGUCAAAAGGCAAGAAGGCUUCGUGGUGACUGAGAACAAGGGGGUGAAGGGGAAUAGUUAGAGAUAGUUGAUAGAAGCAGGAAUGGCGAGAAGAAACCGGUUUGGGGGGAAGCCCCCCCUGAAAGGCCAGGAGUUGACAGCGAAAACGGUCAGAAGCCUUUGCGAGGAAAACAACAAAUCUUCAUCCCACGACCCACUAUGCACACAGCAGAGGGGAGGGUCUGCACGCUAAUGAACUGUCGGGGUGUAAGGAAUAUGGAUCCGAAUCCAGGGAAAACUAUUGAUUAUGUAUUAGUUUCGCCUGUUUCUGUAGCACGAUUUCUCUAGACGGUGUGCAAGCCAGGCGGAUCGAUGCCCCUUGCACCCGGUGUCUGCGCAGCACUGAAUAAACCUCACCUGCUUUGUAAUCUUACAA